CCAGCCAAAGAUGAAGAAAUGCUGGUCUAUGCAUUUAAGAAGGGCGUGCUGCCGGGACCAUUCUGCGAAGCAUUGAUCAAGGCUCACCCUGCCACGUUUGCUGAGGUCAGGCGACUUGUGGUGGCCCACAUCGCCGAUGAGAGUGAAGUCGCCGAGAAGAGGGGCAGCGUGGCUCCCGCCAGGCCACGUGCCCAGACCAGGAUCCAGCCGCAGAGGGUGCUGGAAACAGCGGCGGCCAGGAGGGAUCAGAGGACUCGCCAUCCUUAUGAUCCAAGGAAGAAUAAGGGCAGGGGCCAAGGACGC
rnacentral:lncRNA from 1 species